AGGAUACACACAUAAAUAAAAGAACCAAAGGCGCCAUGUGUUUAACGCUUCUUCAUUCAAAUUGUUACAAUCUGGAAAUGUGACAUUUAAAAAGGUUAAAAAGGGUUGAAAGUUCAAAACAGGAUGAGCAGGGCAAGAUCAGGAGCAAAUUUCCAUACUGGAUAUACGGAGGAACAAAGAAGAAGAAAAA